UUCAAAAUUUGUUGAGUGUAAGUUGAAUUAAUGGGUUUUGGUGAGAUUUUUGGGGGAAAUCUUCUGUUAGGUUAUGAUGCUGUCAAUAAUUUGUCAAAUAGGGACUUGUAACACAGUAAAAUGAUAAAGAGUAUCCAAAUAUCUGUUGAUCAGCACAGGUGGUUACCACUUACGUAGAUACAAAAUUACCGAGGACUUCUGUAUAAAAACAAGGAAACAGUCAAAAAGUUGAAUAAAUUAACGUAUGCCAAGGUAGUGAAGUAAACAGUAUAUAUGUCUCCUAUCUAUGGUGAAGAUAAUCAUUAUAUAGACUGAACGCAGAUUAGAGCACGAGACGUGAAGCGUCAAGGAUUAUUGUAAGCGUGAGGUCUAUAUAUCUUCACUACCGUGGCGUAGGUAUAUGCUAUUUUUUUUCACUAGUAGCGCACUACAAAACACAUUUGAAAAAAUUUCGAUUUAUUAAAAGGAACAUAACAUCACUAACAUCACCUAACUAGGUUUUGAUAUUUUCCGUCAUUAUUUUUCGACGUUUGAAAAGUUUUGGUUUCAUGUUGGAAAUAUAUCAAGCUGUGAACUAUGUACCCCUCUAGAGAUACUGUUCCUCGUGAAAAUGAUUUAAAAAAUCUGACCGUUAAAAUAGAAUGGUUAUUGACCCUCGGUGAACAUUAACUUCACUUCCAUUAGCCAAAUUUAAUUACCAUUAUGGAGAAAAAUGAAUUUAUUACUCACAGACAAAGCAUGAUAGUGGUGCAUCUCUACGCUACUAGUGAAAAAAAAUAAUUAUACGCUUGUAGGUGCGUAGGUAUUUCGAUUCAGGUCAGACAACAAACAAUACUCAAUUCCCACCAUAUAGCAAAUAAAGGAAAUUUACUUGUAUAUCCUGCCACGCUGACUGUUUAAAUUUAAGAUGGUUUUCUUUACUUGAUGAAAAAAGUGUUCGAGUGACAAAACGUGGCAAACCAAUUUUUCUGUACUUUUUGUACUUAUGGAUUUUCCAAAUGUCUCAAAAGUUUGAAUGCUUCGAAAAAGAGCAUUAAAAAUGCUUGCAGUUAAAUAUUUAUUUGCAAACACAACUGCUAAAUCUGUUUACAAUUACUAAAAAAUGUUUCGACUUCAAAUAGGACAGCUACAUGGAAAAGAAGACAGUGAAACUCAUACAUAGAAAAAUGCCCCAUGGAAACUAAAAUUCAAAAUUUGUAGUACACACUUGAAUAUAGCUGUGGUUAAAUCAAAAACUUUGUUUCAGAGGACAGGUGUGUGUAAGACAUCGUUCUUUGAAUUGCUUAAUUAUGCUUCAUAGUAUAUGAUUUGUACAGCAAAAGGUUUUUAUUACAAAAUCUCAAACACACGAAACAGCAAUACAGUUUUAUGAGGGAAAAAUACAAAAUUGCAGAUGCUUAUAAUAAGAUAAGUGACUUCAUAACUUCCACUUGACAGUAGAAUUAGAACAGAUCCAAUAUAAUACAAUGCAGGCAUAAGAUGUGCAUGUCCAUGCAAAUGAACAUUUAAAAACAAAUUGAAAGAGAAAUAAUAAGAAAGGUGGACUCAUAACUUAAGAGCAGCGUUUGAACAAAUUUAAUAUUAUUACAAUGAACUUAAUACUGUGUAUAUUUUAUGCAGAUAAGAAUACAAAAGACAGAAAUGAGAUGGGUGAACUUAUAACUACACCAGUGUUAUUGGAACAAAUUUAUUAUAGCAAUAUAAUAAAAACCUACUGUGGGAUAUUCAUGCAGAGAAACAAGAAAGGACUAGUGAAAUCUAGUUUAUCAUUCUCUGUGAUUACUUUAAAACGUAAAAAAAAACAAUACAAUACAGUGCAAUUGUAUAGAGAUUAAUAAAUUUCCCGUUCUAUGUAGAUUAAAAACAGUUAAUCAACAAAUUCUACUGUAAGAAGCUCCACAUCACUCUGAUUUUCAGAUUCUGUUGUUUCUAACAAACAAAUCAUUUGCUCAUCCUUGCAUACCAUUUUUCUUUCAUCUUCUUCUUCACUACAUUCAAGCAGAUUCUCAUCCUCCAAGGAAAUAUCGUCUGCAGAUUCUGAUCUAAAGCUUAUAAUUGAUUCAUCAUCAGAAUCUGCGAGUGAUAUAAUUAUCGGUGGUAUAUCUUGCACGCUUUCAUUCCCCAUCAAUCGCACCCAGUCUUCCUUAAUUAUUUGUUCACAAUGUUUAACACUAUUUAGCCACAUUUCCGGAGUAUAUUUAGACAGUGCUUUUUUCCAUAAAUUAGCAACUUUUAAUUUUCCUGAAGGCUGUUCAAGAAUAUGCUUGUUGUAAUAUUGUUUACAAAAACCCCAUACCAUUUCAAUGGGGUUGUACUGACAAUGGUAUGGGGGAAGUCGUAAUACUUGUAUGCCAUUUUUGGAUAGCAACUCGUCAAUUAAGUACUUUUUUCGGGAAAGAAUAUUGGGUUUUAUUAUUUCAUACAAUUGCUUUUUCGUUAAAUUACUAUCAAAGGGAAUUUCGUUUUGAUGCAACCAAAGUUGUAAUUUUGACUUUUUCCAAGAAAAAUUGGGGAGCUGUUCAGCAUGGACUGAAUGAUACGGCGCGUUAUCCAUAAUAACAACCACUUUGCCGCUCAUCUGUUUGACAUUUGGAAUUAGUUGUUGCUCAGUCCAUUGCUUAAACAGGUCCCCAGUCAUCGUCUUGUGAUAAUCUCUACUAUCUACUUUGCUAUCCAAAAAUAAAUCGCAUCCUUCGAGAAAACCAAAUUUGCCCCCGGCGUGAAGUAUUGUGAAUCGCUUUCCUUCAUUCAUGCAAACUUUCUCUGGCAUACCCCUUCUAUCACCUUCAAACACCCACCUUCUUACAGCAGAACCAUGUUCAUAGAUCCACGUUUCAUCGAGAAAAACGAACGUUACAUUCUGAUCUACCAGUUGCAAAUAUUGCCUUAAAAAUUUAAUUUUUUGAGAUUGAAGUCUAGGUCCCUCAAUUAAAAUUUUUCGGUUAUUCACUUUCUUGUACCUGUACCCCAUUGAUUUUAAAAUGCGUUUCAGUGUUGUUAAACUCGCUGUGUAUUCUAAUUCAGUUCUUGCAAAUUGAAAUAAAUCCCUUGCG